rnacentral:rRNA from 1 species
UGGGGAAUUUUACGCAAUGGGCGAAAGCCUGACGUAGCGACACCGCGUGAGCGAAGAAGCCCCUUGGGGUGUAAAGCUCUGUCAGCUGGAACGAAAAAAAUGACGGUACCAGCAGAGGAAGCAUCGGCUAACUACGUGCCAGCAGCCGCGGUAAGACGUAGGAUGCAAGCGUUGUCCGGAUUUAUUGGGCGUAAAGAGUUCGUAGGUGGUUUGUUAAGUUUGGUGUUAAAGAUUGGGGCUCAACCCUGAAACUGCACUGAAUACUGGCAGACUCGAGUGUGGUAGAGGCUAGUGGAAUUCCCAGUGUAGCGGUGAAAUGCGUAGAUAUUGGGAAGAACACCGGUGGCGUAGGCGACUAGCUGGGCCAUAACUGACACUGAGGAACGAAAGCCAGGGGAGCGAAUGGGAUUAGAUACCCCAGUAGUCCUGGCCGUAAACGAUGGAUACUAGGCGUAUCGGGUAUCGACCCCUGAUGUGCCGCAGCUAACGCGAUAAGUAUCCCGCCUGAGUAGUACGGCCGCAAGGUUG